rnacentral:lncRNA from 1 species
ACAUAUCAAUAAAUUGCUAAAUUUAAUUUAGUGCUAACGGGAUAAAGUCAACCAACCAUAUCAAACCAAAUUUACUCAAAAUCUUCUCAGCAUGAAGAGAACAACAAACACAUUGACACAAGACAACUGGUUCAAUUCAGCAAUCUAAACAGAAACUACACCAAAAUUUCUCAUUAAAUAAUCAGAACCAGCCCCACAAAAAGACUAGAGUUUUAUCACUUAUCCAUAACUAAUCACCCUUCUUCCUGAAGGAGCACCCCUCUGUUAGCCUUGCUUUGCCACCAGUUGGCUGGCACAAAACCGUCUGACAGUUGCCGCAAACCACGACUGUUUGAGAGUGGCUAAAUACGGUAGUUCUGCAACCAAAAAUUUCAACCAUUAUAAACUAACAAGUCAAAUCAAAGGUGUCCUAUAAUAAGUUGGUUUCAAUUUUUAUCAAAAAUUUGAUUUCUACUUUGAAGGGAAGAUAAAUGUUGUAGUUCUGCAUCCACAAAUUUCAACCAUUAUAAACUAACAAGUUGAACCAAUGUUGUUCUAUAAUAAGAACGUCUCAAAUUCAACUUCUACUUUGAAAGAAAAAACAGAUUUUAAUUAUAAUAACAUUUCGAGUAUCAUUGUACCUAAACAGUAUAAAUCUAAUUAGUAGAGAAGUCCAUAACUAUCAUUGUGACAUUGUUCCUAAACAAUAUAAAUAUGAUAAGCAGUCCAUGAUGUGCAUAAAAUCCAUCAAUUUAGUCUAUGAUAGGGAUUAAAUUGAUGAAUUUUCAUAUACUUUGAAAAUAAAUUAACGGAAUUCGGAACUGUUUAUUAUACUUAUAUAACUUAGGAACUAGAUUGAAAAGAGUGAUAGUUCAAUGACUAAAUUUAAGGUUUAUUCAACUAAAAGAAAUGGUUUUAUAAUUAUCAACAAUUUCACUUAUACUAUACUAUAUACAACAAAGAACAAAUUUAAAAACAAAUUACUUUUAUAUUCAACCGGGUCUGUAGUAUCUAUGACACAUAAAACAAUGUAUUUCUCAAACAAAUAAAAUAACAUAGAAAUUAGAGACUUACAUGUUGAAGCAUCCUUGGCAUUUGACAUCCUAUAACAAAUCCAAAAUGAAACAAAAACACAAAUUACAAAUGGAAUAGAAAGAAGAAAAAAAAAAGCUUAAAAUUUAACAAAGGAAACAAUAAAAAUAAAAAAAUAAAAAACUAACCAUGAAGAAUGAGUUAGGAGAUUGAACGAGACGCUUGAGCUUGUGCUUCCUUUUCUCAAGUUCCGCUGGUGGAUUCAAGAGAUCGAUGUCGUUUUGGAGAACCUGAAAACAAUAAAAUCAGCAAACUUAAUAAAUCAGAAUUGGAGCGAUUCAGAGGUUUAUUUACGUAGAAAAACAGAGGAGAGAGUAGUUAACCAUUGUUGAGGUUGAGAGAUGAAUCAAAUCGCAAACCCUAGAAACUCUUGAUGAGAUUGGAAGGGGCUGCGACUGCA